AUUGAACGCUGGCGGCAGGCCUAACACAUGCAAGUCGAACGGUAACAGGGAUCAGCUUGCUGAUUCGCUGACGAGUGGCGGACGGGUGAGUCAUGUCUGGGAAACUGCCUGAUGGAGGGGGAUAACUACUGGAAACGGUAGCUAAUACCGCAUAACGUCGCAAGACCAAAGAGGGGGACCUUCGGGCCUCUUGCCAUCGGAUGUGCCCAGAUGGGAUUAGCUAGUAGGUGGGGUAACGGCUCACCUAGGCGACGAUCCCUAGCUGGUCUGAGAGGAUGACCAGCGACACUGGAACUGAGACACGGUCCAGACUCCUACGGGAGGCAGCAGUGGGGAAUAUUGCACAAUGGGCGCAAGCCUGAUGCAGCCAUGCCGCGUGUAUGAAGAAGGCCUUCGGGUUGUAAAGUACUUUCAGCGGGGAGGAAGGGAGUAAAGUUAAUACCUUUGCUCAUUGACGUUACCCGCAGAAGAAGCACCGGCUAACUCCGUG
rnacentral:rRNA from 1 species